rnacentral:rRNA from 1 species
ACGCUGGCGGCGUGCCUAAUACAUGCAAGUCGAGCGAGCGGAACCAGCAGAAUCACUUCGGUGAGGACGCUGGGAAAGUGAGCGGCGGAUGGGCGAGUAACACGUGGGGAACCUGCCCUUAAGUCUGGGAUACCACUUGGAAACAGGUGCUAAUACCGGAUAAGAAAGCAGUUCGCAUGAACAGCUUUUAAAAGGCGGCGCAAGCUGUCGCUAAAGGAUGGACCCGCGGUGCAUUAGCUAGUUGGUAAGGUAACGGCCUACCAAGGCAGUGAUGCAUAGCCGAGUUGAGAGACUGAUCGGCCACAUUGGGACUGAGACACGGCCCAAACUCCUACGGGAGGCAGCAGUAGGGAAUCUUCCACAAUGGACGCAAGUCUGAUGGAGCAACGCCGCGUGAGUGAAGAAGGUUUUCGGACCGUAAAGCUCUGUUGUUGGUGAAGAAGGAUAGAGGUAGUAACUGGCCUUUAUUAGACGGUAAUCAACCAGAAAGUCACGGCUAACUACGUGCCAGCAGCCGCGGUAAUACGUAGGUGGCAAGCGUUGUCCGGAUUUAUUGGGCGUAAAGCGAGCGCAGGCGGAAGAAUAAGUCUGAUGUGAAAGCCCUCGGCUUAACCGAGGAAUUGCAUCGGAAACUGUUUUUCUUGAGUGCAGAAGAGGAGAGUAGAACUCCAUGUGUAGCGGUGGAAUGCGUAGAUAUAGGAAGAAUACCAGUGGCGAAGGCG